rnacentral:rRNA from 1 species
UACGAAGGGUGCGAGCGUUAAUCGGAAUUACUGGGCGUAAAGGGUGCGUAGGCGGUUACUUGAGUCUGUUGUGAAAGCCCUGGGCUUAACCUGGGAAUGGCAAUGGAUACUGGGUAGCUGGAGUACGGUAGAGGAUGGCGGAAUUCCCGGUGUAGCAGUGAAAUGCGUAGAGAUCGGGAGGAACAUCAGUGGCGAAGGCGGCCAUCUGGACCAGUACUGACGCUGAGGCACGAAAGCGUGGGGAGCAAACAGG